rnacentral:rRNA from 1 species
UUUAAAUUGAGAGUUUGAUCCUGGCUCAGGACGAACGCUGGCGGCGUGCCUAACACAUGCAAGUCGAGCGGAGAAUGCGGAUAUGUUUACAUAGAAGCGUUCUUAGCGGCGGACGGGUGAGUAACACGUGGGUAACCUGCCUCAAAGUGGGGGAUAGCCUUCCGAAAGGAAGAUUAAUACCGCAUAAG